rnacentral:lncRNA from 1 species
AUUUUCCCAUAAGCUCCUGUGGUUCAUCUGGCAUUGCUGGCUGGAGGCUCGAGGCUGGAGGAGGAAUGAGCAGGCUGCACUGAUUGUCCUAGGGUGGGUGGGGAGCACACCUGGCUGGCAAAAAGAGGAGAGCAGCCAUACAGCCCUUUGCACUUGUGUCUUGUGUCCGUCAGCGCUAGGAAAGAGUUUGGACAAGAGCUCCUGUGGCAUUAUGACAAAUACUGUGUAGCAGCUGAGGCAGAGGGAAUUGGAGAGUGAAGCUGCGAGCAGGUAGAUUAAUCCAUCCAAAGGGCAUGCGGCGGCUUGGCUGGAGACAUGAUGUGAAUGCAGAAGAACAGAUUUGCUUCUUGCUUCUGAGUGGGAAUACAAAUAAGGAAAUCAAAUCCUAUUGCUUCUUCCUCUCUGGGCCUGCUGCAGGAUCCAGCACGCUGCUCCCCAGGUGUGGGGCAGGCCCAGCAGCAGCUAGGACUGCUGCCCAGAGGUCAGCUCUGUCCUACACCCUCUGAAGCAGUAAGUUUAUUGAAAUUUGCCCUGCCAAUCCAUAUCUGGAAACAGAAAACUGUAGAAGCCAAAGGGAAACAAUCAAGACGCUGAAAACGUUAAACCACGGGAGCAGACCAGCUGAAGGUGAUAGCAAAUUCUCCUCCACUUCAAGUUUUUGGGAUGAAAUUGAACUCCUCCUGCAAGUACAAUGACCCUGCUCUUGAGAAAACUGUGAGUUUGAAGCGAAGCAAAGAUUUCAAGUUAUUACAAGAAGCAGAACUCAUGGAUCUCUUCUUGACUGUCUGCAAGAUGUUGCCUGAAAGUUGAGAAGGGCUCUCACUCUGUGGAAGAAGAAAUGUUGGACAAUUCCAUAGAAGGAGAAAAUGAAUAAUGAUAUAGAGGCUGUGAUUUAAGGAAAGUUUGCCUUUAUCCUAUCUUUGUUUACCUGUUUAAAACUAAAUGAAUAUGAACUUCAGUAAUG